CCUACCCAUAGAGGUGUCCCAGGUGUGUCUGCUAUGUAGCAUGUGUCUCCCCAAGUGAGAGUAGGCUAUGCCUUUGCCAAGUUUUCUGACCUGUGAAUAUUUGAAUCAUUAGUAGUCUAAAAUU
ensembl:snoRNA LOC120101346 small nucleolar RNA SNORA17